ACGUUUGGUAGUUUUAUCUGAGUGGAAAACUGUCAGCUUUGAGUUGACUUUUGAGGCACUUUUUACUCAGCUGUUCUAUGGAAACGUGUCAGGACAAAUAAAACGCUAACCAAAAGUUAUUCUGUCCAGAGUAACGUUAUAUAUGUAAUUUACCAGAUAAUAUCAAUUGACUACAUUAAUAAUGACAUUGCGUAUGAAACAAACGGUCUGCUUAAUCAGAUGAACAGACCCGCGUCAGUUAUUCAUGACUUCGCUACGCCACGAGCAACACUUGAUUCAAUUAGAAAAAGCUUUUUUAAAUGUCUCGCGUGACGUCUGUUAUAUUAACUGAAAAAAAAAUCGCUUUGAAGUGACCACACCUUAAAGCUGACGUUUUCAGAAGAGAACCUUGUUUUAAGGUCUAAUUUUGUCCAACAUUGCGUCCUAUGACAGAUAUAAUACUUAUUUCAUUAUUGUUCUGUGUAUGUGUGACCUUCAUCAUUUGAGGUUAUGUGUUGAUUUCACCUCUGAAUAUUUCCUCUUAUAGGUCCAUCAUCCUUUCAUGCGCUACACACUCAAAAGCAUUGAUAAAUGCUGUAUUUAAAAGAAUCACUACUGUCUUAUGUUCCUGUGUCACCUGGACCUCCAAUCCAAAAACCUGAUGAAACUCUUCUAUCAGAAAGGAGGACAGCUAGCAAAAAGACUUCAAACAAUUAAUGAUCAAAUGACAGAAGGCAUGGAUGAAGUCAGCAUCAGUGAGGUCAUUUGAAGACACCAAUGUUGGGAUUUGUGCUCUCAAACAACAUGCUUCUUGUGAUGAAGAAGAGGAUCUUUGUAUAGUCCUGGAAGCCAUGAAGGUGUUGCAACAUCGUGUUUGAGCUGAUGUAUGCCUUAAACCUGAUCUCCGCUUUAUUUUUGAGGAAAUCCAAAAGAUUUUAAUGGAACUGCAUUGAGAGUAACUUUAACGAACAGUUUCUUUCAGUGAAAGGAUCAGAAAGACUGUGCUGCUCAUUUUUGAAUUUUUUAUCUUUUUUAAGUGUUUUCUCUUAUUAAUACAUUAACAGUUUGCUGCUCAGAGUCGAUUUUGGAAAUGGUUGUUGUAUUUUGUUUUUGUUGAAUCUUUGAUUAACAGUUUAUACAAAUGCUGUAGCUCUGACUUUCUGAAGGAUUGAUAUUUUCCAGUUUGUAAAUCCAUUUUAUAAAUAAUAGUACUUACUGUUUUGCAUGUCUCUUUGGAAUGCAGUGUUUGUGCUUUAGCACUUCUAAAUCUACUGUGAUAGUAACUAUUUUAAACAUUUUGGUCAGUUUCACAGAUAGGGCUUUUCCUAGUCCCAGACUUUUGCAAUGCCAUAUAUCAGUGCCAUUGUUUUGUCUAAAGAUGUACUCCAGUGUUGUUUUUGUAAGGUAGGUUUGUUUGUAAACUUUAUUUUUGUAAAAAUAUCCUAAUAUAACUAGGGCCUAGUCAUGGAUUAAUCUACAACCUGUUUGGGAAAUUGCCCCUUUAUGUAUGUACUGCAUGUGCUGAUUGUUGUAAUGGUUAUUGACUGUUAUUGAAUUAAUGUGUAGUGAUUUAAAUGAAUUGAUGAUCUGAAAGCAGUGGUUUGCCUCAAUAUCACUAAACAUUUGUACAAAACUCUUUGCUUUUUAUGCCAAUGC